rnacentral:lncRNA from 1 species
UGUUAUGAAUAAUAUGUAAUGAAUGUCCAUUAUUGUGUAGGUUUUCUUGUCCCCUAAUUGUGUCCUAUAAAUAAGACCACUUUGUUACAAUGUAAAGCACACUUGUGAAUAGAAUAAUAACAAUGGUCUAUUCAUUUCUCUUCUCUCUUUCUCUUCUCCUUCUAUAUUCUUGCUAUUCUUUAGAAAUAGUUCAUAACACGUUAUCAGCACGAUAGUCUCUCCCCUUUCAAAAAAGGUAU